CGUGGAGAGCAGGAGGCAGGAGCCGGGCGCGCAGGGGAGCGCGGGACCCUCCCGCGCACACGCCGCGCGCUCUCUCUCUCUCUCACACACACACACGCACACACACACGCCCUUCCUGCUUCGCUCCUUGCUGCUGCCACCACCAUCUCCAAGCCGAGCCCUGCGGAGCGGGAACCCGAGUCGGAGCAGGGACCCGAGCAGAACCGAGCUGGGGGAUGCGGGCCCAGAGCGGAGCCGAGCGCGGACGGCGCGCCCGGGACGCCUUCUGCACCCACAGGCCCUGAGAUGCUGGUGCCCACGGCAACGAGGGCAACUGACCCUGGCCCGCUGUGCUCACUGGACCCCGCUCAGCCUGAGUGGCUGGGAGGCAGCUGGGAUCACCCUGUUCAGAUGCAGAGGUGAGGCGACCUUCAGCGCAGAGGAUUGAUGSGAAAUAGGGGCUUGUCUCCUGGGGCCCUCCAGGUCCCUAGGCG
rnacentral:lncRNA from 1 species